rnacentral:lncRNA from 12 species
AUCAUUGCUUUAUUUUGUGAAUUCUGUAAGUAAGAAUAUACUCAUUAUUACUGUGCUUCUAUCUAGGAAAGAAUUCUCAGAAAGACAAUGUGUUUUUAUUUAUUGAUGUGAUGUUCAUUACAGGAGUCCUUCUUCCCAUAUAAUGACCUGCAAGGCUUGAUGGAAUCUGGUCUGUGACUUCAUCCAAGACUUCCUUAUGGAUUGGAGAAUUCUCCUGGAUUUUGCCUGCUGGACAAAUGACCAAGAGGAUCCAUCCCAUAUGCACCAACCCAGGGACACAGAAGUGGAGGUGAGAUAUUCCAGCACUGGUGGCUGAAGUCCACCUGCUCUAAAUCCUCAGGGAAUUUCCCUGUAGAUCUCAGGGGUUUAAUACAACCUGGUGCAGUCCAUCAUCUCUGGGACUCCUCGAGAUAAUCCAGCACUCUGAAACUGUUCAUUAGGCACAGAUAAUGAGGCUAAAAUGAA